AGCUGGGUUCCCGGCAGCGCGGACGCGGGCGUGAGCCGCUGCCGGUGCGGCGGCGUGGCCGGCGGAGACCCGGGUCUUCCCCGGCCGUGAGGAGAACGCAGGACGUGUGGGCGAAUACAAGUGGUUUUUUCUUUUCCUGUUUUUCAUUAGAAGCAAUAUUUGUUACAUUUGGAAAAAUCAGGUGCAAAGGAGAACUGGAGGGAAAAUGAGAACUAGAGCUAACUCUUGACCGGUUACUUUAUACUUGGAAUCUCACACACUUGGUGUCAGAAGGGACCUUCGAGGUUUUCUAAGCUAAGGAUGCGUUUCAGUGAGCUGGGAUAAAGAGACGUGCAGGCGACAUGGAGCAUUUGAGGAAUAUACCAAUGGCCUUACCAUUCCAAGAUGCUUUCAGCUGACACCUGGUAGAGAGGCAUAGUGAGGAACAGCCUGAUCCACUCAGUAAGAAUCCAGACAUUGGCCCCAUAAAACCUGGAUCUGCUCUUGCUUGAUGUUAUUUGAAGCAUUCAUCAAGAAAACAUCACUUCACGUAGGAAAGAGAACCAGUGUUCAAGUCCCAGACCUGAAGUUUACUAUCCUUUUUGCCUUGGAUUGAACUGAGUCUCAGUUUCUCAUCUGUCAAAUGGGGAAAUCUUAUAAGAUUAUGACUUCCCCUCCAGACCUUCUCUUACUCCUACCGGGACUGCAAUUGGGCUUAAAGGCAGCAUUCAAGAUAAGGAGAUGAGACCUGGAGUCCACAGAACUGUUCAUUGCAACUAUCUUUACCACCCACAACAGUCCUAAUCUCCCUUCUCUACUUUAUUAUUUUUUUCAAGGUUAAGUCAAGGUCCAGAGUAAAAGGCAUAUACUCCUCACGUCUCACAUCAAAGCAAGAUCCAUAACUCUUUUUAAGCUCUGUCUCUGCACUCCAUCCCACCAUUGACUAAUAAAGUGAUGGUGUAUUUGGAUUGGAUCAUUCAAGGUGUAGAAAGUUGAUCAGGUUCAGAAACUUAGGACACUGAGAAGAAUAUGAACACUACUAAAAAUAUAAAGUAAUAAAAUUGGCAGAAAAAGUUUCCCAGCCACUGCUACAGAGAGACCAGAGAAAGCAAUGAAAAUGUCUGUAUCUAAAAACUCCAGCCUGCUUUAGAAGCAAAAUUACCAUGACGGCGUUACAUCUGGAUGCAUCAGCUCAUUUAGCAGUUGCCUCCUUAGCUUUGAAACAUCAAGUAUGACAUAAAUCAAGAUGUACAUUAACAAAGAUGGUAUAAAACAUCUGUGGAUUCUAAAUAAGGAAAAAAUCACAUUAGUCACCAUGCGAACAAUGUGUGUGAUAAUUUCCAUAAAAGCAGAAGGUAUCCAGGAACUCAAACAGACAAAAGAGCUGAAAUAGACUGUUAGCCCAAUGCGAAUAACGUACCAAAGGAACUAACUGCUGUCUCUCUCUUUUUUUUUCCUGAACAAGUAAGGAAUAUUUAAACAAAUAGAAUGAUUCCAUUUCUUUAAAUUAAGACAGAUUCUUCUUGAAGGAAAGGGAAAAUCAUUUCUUCUUGGAGCGCAUCAUCGCUGGCAGGUGACCCUCUGGUGUGUCUGAGAAGUCAUACGCUGCCCGUGUGGGUUUGCUGGAACAGUUUCCUGCUGAAUGCUGGACACAAAUUCUGCCUCUAAAAUUCUUGACUACGGUCAGUCUUGAAGAGAGGUGAGCCCCGAAUACCCCAUACCCAAAGUCAAGGGCAUUCUUAUCUCAGGCGUGGUCCUUGCAAAUACUUUUUGGCAUCAAAUAGCUUAUGUGCCCAAUUACAUAAUGUUCUCAAUGGAUAUAUUUCUACCAGCAGCAAAAAAGAGCCAAAGAUGGUUGAUUGUGUGCAUUACGAGGCAGUAAGAGAAAUUCCCAAGUUACGCCCUUUCCUCUUCCCUGGAUAAUGACAUCUGACAUUAACUAAGUAGCCUUCAAAAGCACAGAUGCAGAGAGUUGUGGGGAUAAGAGUCAGGUCUCCUUCUUCCUUUGUCCUUAAAAAUCAUAAAACUUUUUAUUUCAAAAGCCGUUUUACCUGAAGUGAGCAGUUUGUUUCAUCUGUAAUUUGUGCUGGAUAACAAUGAGAAUGAUGUUUUCAUUAUUCGUAGUGUAUCAGUCUGUUCCUUUCCUUGCCCCUAUUAACAAUAAAAACCCAUGCAGUUUUCAGCCAUUAUCAUUUUUCUCCUGAUAAACCAUCUGUGACAUGGAGACCUUGAAGCUGGGAGUUCUGGCCACAAUGCUCAAUAGACUGUGCACGCAGCUUUUUCAGAGGUAACUGCUGUAAAAAAUCAGCUCCACCGUUAUUCCUCUCUCUUAUGAUUUUUCUCUCGCUCCUUUUUAUAUAUCGAAUGUAAUGUGAGUUCACAUGAAUUCAGCCAACAGCGUUUUGCCUGACAAUAGAAACUACAUCUAAGGCUCUUACUGGGGCUAGAGUUGUCCUUUCCCCUAAUUCCAGCUGCUCCUGCUGCUGUCUCUGAUCGAGGAGCUAGAAGGAAAAUAUCCUCACCACAGAGCUACUUUGCCCAUCUUUUAUGGAGUCUUUCCUUUCCAGGGUUCAGGAGCCAUCUGCCUUUUGGACAGACAAGGUCCAUGUGAACUGACCUUGCCACAAGUAAAAUGAAAAGGAAUCAAAUGACAAAGUUGUCUCCACCAACUGGUUUCAUUAAAAAAUAAGCACACGUAGCUCUCCAGAGCCUGCUGGUUUUGACCUCAAGUCUUUGUGAAGCUGCAGUGAUAUUACGUGAUAAAAUGGAGAUAAGCUCUAAAAAUCAGAUAUAAAAGUAGAUCUAAAAUAGAUGCUAAUGGAUCAGUUUUUGUGUUUGUGCAUGUAUUAGGGUUCUCCAGAGAAACAGAACCAAUGGAAUGUGUAUAUGUAUAUGGAGAGAUUUAUUUUAAGGGUUUGACAUACAUGAUUAUGAAAGCUUGGCAAGUCCAAAAUCUGUUGGGGAGGCUGGCAGACUGGAGACUCAGGAAAGAGUUGCAGUUUGAGUCCAAAGGCAGUCUGCUGGCAGAAUUCUUUCUUUCUAGGGAGAGGUCAGGAUUGUUCUAUAAGGCCGUCAUGGGGCCGGCCCCCAGUGGCACAGAGGUUAAGUUCGCACGUUUCGU